rnacentral:rRNA from 1 species
CCUUGCGCUAUCAGAUGAGCCUAGGUCGGAUUAGCUAGUUGGUGGGGUAAUGGCUCACCAAGGCGACGAUCCGUAACUGGUCUGAGAGGAUGAUCAGUCACACUGGAACUGAGACACGGUCCAGACUCCUACGGGAGGCAGCAGUGGGGAAUAUUGGACAAUGGGCGAAAGCCUGAUCCAGCCAUGCCGCGUGUGUGAAGAAGGUCUUCGGAUUGUAAAGCACUUUAAGUUGGGAGGAAGGGCAGUAAGUUAAUACCUUGCUGUUUUGACGUUACCGACAGAAUAAGCACCGGCUAACUCUGUGCCAGCAGCCGCGGUAAUACAGAGGGUGCAAGCGUUAAUCGGAAUUACUGGGCGUAAAGCGCGCGUAGGUGGUUUGUUAAGUUGGAUGUGAAAGCCCCGGGCUCAACCUGGGAACUGCAUCCAAAACUGGCAAGCUAGAGUACGGUAGAGGGUGGUGGAAUUUCCUGUGUAGCGGUGAAAUGCGUAGAUAUAGGAAGGAACACCAGUGGCGAAGGCGACCACCUGGACUGAUACUGACACUGAGGUGCGAAAGCGUGG